GCUAAGAAUAUUCCGCAAUGGACGAAAGUCUGACGGAGCGACGCCGCGUGGAUGAGGAAGGCCGAAAGGUUGUAAAGUCCUUUUGUCGAUGAAGAAUAAGUGGUGGAGGGAAUGCCAUCAUGAUGACGUUAGUCGGCGAAUAAGCCCCGGCUAAUUACGUGCCAGCAGCCGCGGUAACACGUAAGGGGCAAGCGUUGUUCGGAAUUAUUGGGCGUAAAGGGUACGUAGGCGGUUAUGUAAGCCCGGCGUGAAAUCCUGCAGCUGAACUGUAGAGCUGCGCUGGGAACUGCGUAACUUGAGUCAUGGAAGGGAAGUUAGAAUUCCAGGUGUAGGGGUGAAAUCUGUAGAUAUCUGGAAGAAUACCGGUGGCGAAGGCGAACUUCUGGCCAAUGACUGACGCUGAGGUACGAAAGUGCGGGGAGCAAACAGGAUUAGAUACCCGAGUAGUCC
rnacentral:rRNA from 1 species